rnacentral:piRNA from 1 species
AUCGGGGAUGGACGCGCGACAAAAU